GACGAAGGGGGCAAGCGUUGUUCGGAAUUACUGGGCGUAAAGGGCGCGUAGGCGGUUUGCUAAGUCAGGCGUGAAAGCCCUGGGCUUAACCUGGGAUGUGCGCUUGAUACUGGCGGGCUUGAGUGUGGGAGAGGUUGGUGGAAUUCCCAGUGUAGAGGUGAAAUUCGUAGAUAUUGGGAAGAACACCGGUGGCGAAGGCGGCCAACUGGACCACAACUGACGCUGAGGCGCGAAAGCGUGGGGAGCAAACAGG
rnacentral:rRNA from 1 species